rnacentral:lncRNA from 1 species
UUUUACUCACAUUGCUUAAAUAACUUUUGCAUAUCUAAACAGUUUUGGUAACACGUAAGUAGCCUGUAGUAUGAUCAUGGAGGUUAGAAGAAUGGAAUCCUAUUCUCUGGCCAGUUUUCCAUUUUACAGGCCAAAAUUAUUUCUUGCUUUUUGAUUUAUGUUGUGUGUGUGAGCACCUCCAAGAACCUUAUGGCAGAUUUUUAACUGGGAGGUUUUUUCUGACAGAUCAGCUUCCCAUAAGAAGUACCCAGAUGGGAAGUAAGCUGCCACCUUUCAGGCCUGGCUUUCAGUCCUGCUGCUGGAGUUGGAUCUGUGCUGAAGGAAAGGAGAAGGGAACCUCUUGUCCAGCGGAGACACCAAGCAACUGUCAGAGAACCAAGAGCAGGAAAGAGCUGCUUGGACGCAAUAAAAAAUAUAAAUAAAGUUGAAAAAAAUCUGUGAAGUGUGGAUGAAGGAGGAAAAACAACAGAUCCAGACUCCCCGGUACCAUUCAGUGCUGGCAGAUGCCAAACAUAACAAAUAAGUUUUAUAACAAGCUUUAAGCACUAAUCACCUUCUUCAAGAAAACUGUGAGGUAAGAAAAAACGAGUGUUGAAUUCUGUGCUGUCUCGCUAAGCACUUUUGAAAAAUCCAGAAAACGUGGGUAUCUCAAAUACAGUGAGGGAUCAUAUAUGCAAGAGCAAGCAUUAAACCAGAGUCUAAAACUGAGCAGAAGGGGUUAGGCUAUGGGAGCUGCAUAGAUCCAGAGGUAACAGAUCCCAUCCAGCAAUCUAGAAGAAAGAAGGUACGCCCACCUUCUCCCCUUCCUAAGACCGUAUAUACCCAGACCAUUCUUGAAAGACAUUCUCACGGCUAAAGUGUCUCAUGUAAGAGAUGAUCCCCAGAGAGUAUUCAGCUCUGCAAGCAUUAGAAAGUUUUCUUAUUGUCUACCCCAAAUCUUACAAACUAAGCCUUUUACUUCUUGCCC